AAAAAGAUUUUUUUAGAAAUCAUCAAAAGAACCAAUAACUCGAUA
rfam:Phoenicopterus ruber ruber contig57606, whole genome shotgun sequence.